rnacentral:tRNA from 1 species
GCCUUCGUGGUGUAGUAGUCAGCACACUCGACGUGUAACCGAGAGGUCGGUGGUUUGAUUCCCGGCGAAGGCA